rnacentral:rRNA from 1 species
UACAGGGGGGGCAAGCGUUGUUCGGAAUUAUUGGGCGUAAAGGGCGCGUAGGCGGCUUUGCAAGUGACGGGUGAAAGCCCUCGGCUUAACCGAGGAACUGCCUGUCAGACUGUGAGGCUUGAGACCGGGAGAGGUGAGUGGAAUUCCCAGUGUAGCGGUGAAAUGCGUAGAUAUUGGGAGGAACACCAGUGGCGAAGGCGGCUCACUGGACCGGAACUGACGCUGAGGCGCGAAAGCGUGGGGAGCAAACAGG